rnacentral:rRNA from 1 species
UGGGGAAUAUUGGACAAUGGGCGAAAGCCUGAUCCAGCCAUGACGCGUGUGUGAAGAAGGUCUUCGGAAUGUAAAGCACUUUAAGUUGGGAGGAAGGGCAGUAAGCGAAUACAUUGCUGUUUUGACGUUACCGACAGAAUAAGCACCGGCUAACUCCGUGCAAUCAGCAGCGGUAAUACAGAGGGUGCAAGCGUUAAUCGGAAUUACUGGGCGUAAAGCGCGCGUAGGUGGUUCGUUAAGUUGAAUGUGAAAGCCCCGGGCUCAACCUGGGAGCUGCAUCCAAAACUGGCGAGCUAGAGUAAGUCAGAGGGUGGUUGAAUUUCCUGUGUAUCGAUUAAAUGCGUAGAUAUAGGAAGGAACACCAGUGGCGAAGGCGACCACCUGGGCUCAUACUGACUCUGAGUUGCGAAAGCGUGGGUAGCAAACAGG